rnacentral:rRNA from 1 species
CCCUUAGAUGUUCUGGGCUGCACGCGCGCUACACUGAUACUUUCAGCGAGUCCACCACCUUGCCUGAGAGGGUGGGGUAACCUCUGGAAAGUGUAUCGUGAUGGGGAUCGAUUAUUGUAAUUAUUAAUCUUCAACGAGGAAUUCCUAGUAAGCAUGUGUCAUCAGCCCGUGCUGAUUACGUCCCUGCCCUUUGUACACACCGCCCGUCGCUCCUACCGAUUGAAUGCUCAGGUGAGCCAUUCGGACUUUCAUCAUGCUGGUUUCCAGUUUUGAUGAAGGAAAGUCUUGCGAACCUUAUCAUUUAGAGGAAGGAGAAGUCGUAACA